rnacentral:lncRNA from 1 species
GGUUUUUAACGAGGUAAUAUCAAACACAAGAUCAUAUAUCAUACUUUCAGUUUUCCCCACCGGGGUUUUUAGGAAAGUAUAUACGACAUAUUUAUUGUUCUCUUGAUUCUAUGAGUUUUCUCGUAUUGAGUUAAAGGAGACAAUAACCAUAUAUGUUGCGACAUUUUCUCCUUAUUUUUCCCACUGGGUUUUGAAGGAGUUUUGGCAACAUAUCAAACACUAUACUCCUCAUAUUUUUCCCACAGGAUUUUUGGAGGAGCCUCUAAUCAAGAUGAUGAUUCUGGAUGGACAAGGAUAGAUUAGGGGGAGUGUUAGAGUUUAAUUAACAUGUGUUAAUUAUGGGGUAAUCUCCCCUUGUAACUGCCAUCUCUCCCGAAUAGAUGCCUCUUCAUUGCAUCUCUUCUCCUUGUAUAUAUAUCCAUAUUCAUCUAAUGAAAGGGGAUGAG